CUCCUCUCAGGAUCGCACCUAGAGAGUUUCCAGGACUCUACCAGUCUCGACUAUGGGAGGGAGAGUCAAGCAGAGGCAUAUCCGUUCCAUUCCUAGCUUGGGCAGUGUGGCUUAGCGAGUGGAAGGCAAUCUGCUACAGGU
rfam:Ornithorhynchus anatinus chromosome X1, whole genome shotgun sequence.